rnacentral:piRNA from 1 species
UGCCUAACGUUGUAACACCAUAUCUAUGC